rnacentral:pre_miRNA from 1 species
GAAUUACUCCCUCCGUUCGGAAUUACUUGUCACAGAAAUGAAUAUAUCUAGAUAUAUUUUAGUUUUAGAUACAUCUAUAUUCGAGACAAGUAAUUCCGAACGGAGGGAGUACUUG